AGGCUACCGCUAUUGGAGUUCGAUUAAGCCAUGCGAGUCUAGAGGCCUAGCCUCGGCGUACCGCUCAGUAACACGUGGGUAACCUACCCUAUGCUGGGGAAUAAGCUCGGGAAACUGAGAAUAAUGCCCCAUAGUCCACUACGCCUGAACGGUGAGUGGAUCAAAGCUCCGGCGGCAUAGGAUGGGCCUGCGGCGUAUCAGGUUGUAGGGGUGUAAUGUACCCUCUAGCCAUCCACGCGUACGGGUGUUGGGAGACAUUGCCCGGAGAUGGAUUCUGAGACACGAAUCCAGACCCUACGGGGUGCAGCAGGCGCGAAAACUUGGCAAUGCGAGAAAUCGUGACCAGGGAACUCCAAGUGGCAGGGGUAAGACCCUGUCUUUUUCCGACUCUAAAUAGGUCGGCGAAUAAGGGGUGGGUAAGGACGGUGCCAGCCGCCGCGGUAAUACCGGCGCCUCAAGUGGUAGUCGCUUUUAUUGGGCCUAAAACGUCCGUAGCCGGUCUGGUACAUUCGUGGGUAAAUCAACUCGCUCAACGAGUUGAAUUCUGCGAGGACGGCCAGACUUGGGACCGGGAGAGGUGUGGGGUACUCUCAGGGUAGGGGUAAAAUCCUGUCAUCCUGAGAGGACCACCUGUUGCGAAGGCUCCACACUAGAACGGAUCCGACGGUCAGGGACGAAGCCUAGGGGCACGAACCGGAUUAGAUACCCGGGUAGUCCUAGGUGUAAACGCUGUGGACUUGAUGUUGGGGACGCUCCGAGCGUUCUCAGUGUCGAAGCGAAGGUGAUAAGUCCACUGCCUGGGGAGUACGGUCGCAAGGCUGAAACUUAAAGGAAUUGGCGGGGGAGCACCGCAACCUGAGGAUUGUGCGGUUU
rnacentral:rRNA from 1 species